GUAGUUAAUUUUUCAUAAGAUGCUCAUAAGGUAGGUGGAUAAACACUAUCUCCAUUUUAUAGAGGGAUACUAAAGAAUAGAAGUUUUGACUUGCCCAAUGCAUCACAUCCUGCUGAUAUCAGACCCUGGGACAGUACUCAGUGUUCCUGGCUCUUAGCCUGGUGCUCUGUGCAUGACCGCACGGUGUCUCAGUGUGAAUGUGAUCGAGCAGAGGACUGUCGGUCAUAUUGAAGGAUGGGAGAUGCCAAGUGAAUAGUGCUCUUGAAUCAUGAUGUCUGAUCAGUGUGUAACGGAAGUAUUCAGCUACUAUCCAAGGUAUUCUGGAUGGCAUGGACGAGGAGAAGAGGAAAGAGACAAAGCCUGGCUCGUAUUUGGACAUUGUUGGGCUGAGGACUGUAAUCGAUCCCCCUUCUGCCCCAGCGCUAGAGUAUGCUGAGGAGCAGCUGUACAAGCUGAGAUGACACUUGAUUUUGAGUUAAAGUGUAUUAUAGUGGCGUGGCAGCACCCAUACAGUCACAACACAGAAAGAGGAGGAGGAGGAAGAGAGAGAAAGAGAAAACUAAAAACCCUGAAGGAUGGUUCUCAAAAAUUCGAAAGGAACCACAGGGAAUUCCUUUUAAGAGCAACAGAAAGCGAGCCAGCUGAGGUGAGGCAGUUUGAGCUUACCCUUUCUCCCCCCCACCCCCUUUUUGGUUAUAAAUUGCUGUUUCUUUAUGGAGUGGGGAGGGGAGGUGGGUGGGGAAGACACCUAACUUCUUUACUGCUUAAGCAAUCUGAGCAUAGAACUCAUGUGAAUAUGCAAAUAGGGCUGGCUGGGCUGCGUUGCUGACACGUGUAUGUGUUGUA